rnacentral:tRNA from 1 species
CGGGGUGUAGCGCAGACGGUAGCGCGCUUGGUUCGGGACCAAGAGGCCCGGGGUUCAAAUCCCCGCACUCCGACCA